CCUACGGGAGGCAGCAGUGGGGAAUAUUGCACAAUGGGCGCAAGCCUGAUGCAGCCAUGCCGCGUGUGUGAAGAAGGCCUUCGGGUUGUAAAGCACUUUCAGCGGGGAGGAAGGCGUUAAGGUUAAUAACCUUGUCGAUUGACGUUACCCGCAGAAGAAGCACCGGCUAACUCCGUGCCAGCAGCCGCGGUAAUACGGAGGGUGCAAGCGUUAAUCGGAAUUACUGGGCGUAAAGCGCACGCAGGCGGUCUGUCAAGUCGGAUGUGAAAUCCCCGGGCUCAACCUGGGAACUGCAUUCGAAACUGGCAGGCUAGAGUCUUGUAGAGGGGGGUAGAAUUCCAGGUGUAGCGGUGAAAUGCGUAGAGAUCUGGAGGAAUACCGGUGGCGAAGGCGGCCCCCUGGACAAAGACUGACGCCCAGGUGCGAAAGCGUGGGGAGCAAACAGGAUUAGAUACCCGUGUAGUC
rnacentral:rRNA from 1 species